rnacentral:lncRNA from 1 species
UCCUGUCCUGCAUGACAAACUGGGAUCAUGUAAACAGCACAUUUAGCCAUUAAGUUGAUUUGCACUCUAAUUUUCCUACUUAUACUAUUUAACUCUGUCUAACGUCAUACAAUUUUAUUAAGCAGGGGGUGCACUGGCAGUUAAUUAAUGGGUAACUAGACACAUGGGCAGUCUCAUUAUGAAGCAUAAAAUCGUCUAGCGUUGGACAGUAAAAUACUCAAGUAGAGCAUACAUCAGGGCACAGUACAACCUAAUGGUUAAAUUUUUUUUUGUAGCAAAAUGGUUUAAGUUUUAUAUCUGAAUUUUUUUUUGCUUUGUUUUACAGAUCAUUACUUGAACGUGCUGAUGAAAUAUUGAUUUAUAAAAUAUCAUGUUACCAAGAUGACAUGCCUCGAAGAGCAAUACAUGAGGGAAUACCUCUAUUUCUAAUCAAAUUACAACAAUACACCAAAGACAGUAGUUCUCGGAUGAAAUGAAAGGAUUGAUAAAUGUUCAUGGCCAACAGUGGAUAUUUGUGACUAUAAUAAAUGGAUACAAAGAAACUAUGAUGGAUAAAUAUGGCCCCGUAAUGGAUAUUCAGUCGAUGGACAUACAAAGGUCACAGAAAUGUCUAUUUUCAGGUACUGUUCUUUCUUGUUUGCCUGCGAACAGGCUGUAGAUACUUGUAUUCAGGCCAUUGUUUGUUUUUUUUUGUUCUGGGUACAAUGAAAUCCGGCAUAAAUCCUGGCGGUCUAAAUGUUCAGUACAUUUACAAAUUCGAUCUAUUUUCUGUUCAGUAGACUUUGAUAGCUUGAAAGAAAGUUUAUAACGAUGAUUUUCUCUGCAAAAACUGUACUUUCGAAAUUCGUCAGCUUCUGAAUUUGAUAACCGAUCUGGAAGAAAAAAGGAACAUUUGAGUGUAUGGUUAUUGCAUGGUUCUAUAUAUAUUCUAUAUAUACUGCCUUUGUGCACACGCAUAACAAGUGCAGCAACGCAACAGUUUAGACAGGGUCAUGAGGCAGGAUGUGUACAAGAAAAGCUUUGCCAGAGUUUUGUCUUUCGAAAUAGAACAACGAUUGGAAAUUGCUGUUUGAUUCUUUGUAAUAUCUUGUCGCUUGUUAGUGAAAAAGAAAUUUGUCACUUUCCUCAUCUAAGGCCCUGUUUACAUGAGACCGGAACGAAGUCAAACCGGGACCAUUUCGUUUCGGUCACAGUAUUAUUUAUAAUAGAUGUUUACAUGAGACCGGGACGAAAAUAACUCAGACCGGUCUCAAGUCAUUCCGCCUGCUGAACCGAACCGACUGACUUCAGACCGGCAUGAAUUCAGACGGGGAUGAAUGUAAACAGAAAUACAUUUCAGACCGGUCUCGGCUGUAACCUUGACAUUGGAACAACACAUGCUAACAUAAGCCAUCUGAAAAAGAAAAUUGCCCUGGCAAGGGGAAUAACUUGAAAAUUUUGUGAUUUUCGUACCGGUCUCAUGUAAAGAUAUUGUCAAUUUCAAUUUUCGUCCCGGUCUCAUGUAAACGGGGCCUAAACCUUUUUUGUCAAAAAACUGGCAUCGUUUGUCUUGGGGUUAGGGGGUACAAAUGGUACCCAUAGCUUAGAGGGUGCAAAUGGUACCCGUAAGAAGACUUGGUGGAAAUCAUGUUGGUCGUUUGGAUCGGCGAGAAUAAGACAAUUAUGGUGGCAAAGUUUUUUUAAACAUUUUCUCUCCCGUAGUAAGGUAAAGCAUGUAUUUUCCUGGUAGCCGGUCUUACUUCAUGAAAAAAUAGUCCGCUACCAGUGACUAGGUCCCCUCUCUUAUGGCGGUUAUUCCGGCUCAAUAUCUUCGGGGAUAUUCCUUUUCAGGGCGGUUGCAUGCGGAUAAUAUGGUCCGCCGCGUGCGCAAAAUAGUUAGGGAGUUAGACAGUUUAGAAGCGUCCAAACUGCGCAAUAUACGACACUCACAUGAAACGUAAAAUACUUUAUAAUAAUUCACAAAAUUGCGAAAACAAAA